GCACCUAUCGUUCAACGGAUAGGACACGGGCCUCCGAAGCCUGAAAUGCAGGUUCGAUUCCUGCUGGGUGCA
rnacentral:tRNA from 1 species